UUUCAGGUCAAAAUGGUCGAUUUUUUAAUUCAUAUGAAUUUAUAUGCACGUAAUUUUUCUAAUUCUUUAUAUCAGAUUAAUGUAAUAAUGAAGAGGUACUGAUUUUGAAUGCCUUUAAUUGAUGGAAAUAGAAGCAACUAUAAAUAUGAUUACAACAUAAUGAAGAAAGAAGAGCUACUGAUUUUGAACUCCUUUAAAUAAUGGAAAUAUUUUUCUAAUUCUUUAUAUCAGAUUAGUAUAAUGAAGAGCUACUGAUUUUGAAUGCCUUUAAUUGAUGGAAAUAGAAGCAACUAUAAAUAUGAUUACAAUAUAAUGAAGAAAGAAGAGCUACUGAUUUUGAACUCCUUUAAAUAAUGGAAAUAUUUUUCUAAUUCUUUAUAUUAGAUUAGUAUAAUGAAGAGCUACUGAUUUUGAAUGCCUUUAAUUGAUGGAAAUAGAACCAACUAUAAAUAUGAUUACAAUAUAAUGAAAAAAGAGCUACUGAUUUUGAACUCCUUAAAUAAUGAAAUAUUUUUCUAAUUCUUUAUAUCAGAUUAGUAUAAUGAAGAAAGAAGAGCUACUGAUUUUGAACUCCUUAAAUAAUGGAAAUAGAAGCAACUGAUAAAUAUGAUUAAAAUUUAUUAUUUAUUAGAUAAUGAAGAAAGAAGAGCUACUGAUUUUGAACUCCUUUAAAUAAUGGAAAUAGAAGCAAUGGAUAAAUAUGAUUACAAUUUAUUAUUUAUUAGAUAAUUAUAACUUAUAAAUAAAAUUAAUUGAU